rnacentral:rRNA from 1 species
AGAGGGUGCGAGCGUUAAUCGGAAUUACUGGGCGUAAAGCGUGCGUAGACGGUUAUUUAAGUCGGAUGUGAAAGCCCCGGGCUCAACCUGGGAAUUGCAUUCGAGACUGAAUAGCUAGGGUACGGUAGAGGGAAGCGGAAUUUCCGGUGUAGCGGUGAAAUGCGUAGAUAUCGGAAGGAACAUCAGUGGCGAAAGCGGCUUCCUGGACCAGCACCGACGUUCAGGCACGAAAGCGUGGGGAGCAAACAGGAUUAGAUACCCUGGUAGUCCACGCAGUAAACGAUGAGAACUGGCUGUGAUGUGUAGGGAGCAAUCUCUGCAUGACGUAGCGAAGUAACGCGUUAAGUUCUCCGCCUGGGGAGUACGGCCGCAAGGUUA